rnacentral:rRNA from 1 species
CGAGUCACGUAGCAAUGCGUGGCGAACGGCUCAGUAACACGUAGUCAACAUGCCCAGGGGACGUGGAUAACCUCGGGAAACUGAGAUUAAACCGCGAUAGGUCAAGAUUUCUGGAAUGGAUUUUGGCUUAAAUCUACAUGGCCCCUGGAUUGGACUGCGGCCGAUCAGGCUGUUGGUGAGGUAAUGGCCCACCAAACCUAUAACCGGUACGGGCUCUGAGAGGAGAAGCCCGGAGAUGGGCACUGAGACAAGGGCCCAGGCCCUAUGGGGCGCAGCAGGCGCGAAACCUCUGCAAUGGGCGAAAGCCUGACAGGGUUACUCUGAGUGAUUUCCGCUAAGGAGAUCUUUUGGCAGCUCUAAAAAUGGUGCAGAAUAAGGGGUGGGCAAGUCUGGUGUCAGCCGCCGCGGUAAUACCAGCACCCCGAGUGGUCGGGACGAUUAUUGGGCCUAAAGCAUCCGUAGCCGGUUGUGCAAGUCCUCCGUUAAAUCCAGCCGCUCAACGGAUGGGCUGCGGAGGAUACUACAGGACUAGGAGGCGGGAGAGGCAAGCGGUACUUAGUGGGUAGGGGUAAAAUCCUUUGAUCCAUUGAAGACCACCAGUGGCGAAGGCGGCUUGCCAGAACGCGCUCGACGGUGAGGGAUGAAAGCUGGGGGAGCAAACCGGAUUAGAUACCCGGGUAGUCCCAGCUGUAAACGAUGCAGACUCGGUGAUGGGCUAGCCUCGUGUCAGCCCAGUGCCGCAGGGAAGCCGUUAAGUCUGCCGCCUGGGGAGUACGGUCGCAAGACUGAAACUUAAAGGAAUUGGCGGGGGAGCACCACAAGGGGUGAAGCCUGCGGUUCAAUUGGAUUCAACGCCGGG